CCCGGCACGGGGAGGUAGUGACAAAAAAUAACGAUACGGGACUCAUCCGAGGCCCCGUAAUCGGAAUGAGAACACCCUAAAUCCUAUAACGAGGAUCUAUUGGAGGGAAAGUCUGGUGCCAGCAGCCGCGGUAAUUCCAGCUCCAAUAGCGUAUAUUAAAGUUGUUGCGGUUAAAAAGCUCGUAGUUGGUUCUGCGUGCCACGCUGUCGGUUCACCGCCUGCCGGUGCAACUGGCAUGCCGUGGCAUGUCCUGUCGGUGGCUGAUAGGCACACUUCGUGCACCAUGCAGUUCUUCUGUGUGGUUGUUGCGUUAGUGUUGUCCUUGUAAGCCGGCUCAAUCCUACCGCGGUGCUCUUUACCGAGUGUCGAGGUAGGCCGACACGGUUUACUUUGAACAAAUUAGAGUGCUUAAAGCAGGCUCUUAAAUCUGCCUAAAUAGUGGUGCAUGGAAUAAUGGAACAGGACCUUGGUUCUAUUUUGUUGGUUUUAGGAAUCCAAGGUAAUGAUCAAUAAGGACAGGCGGGGGCAUUCGUAUUGCGACGUUAGAGGUGAAAUUCUUGGAUCGUCGCAAGACGCACUAGAGCGAAAGCAUUUGUCAAGUAUGUCCUAAUUGAUCAAGAACGAAAGUUAGAGGCUCGAAGGCGAUCAGAUACCGCCCUAGUUCUAACCAUAAACGAUGCCAGCCAGCGAUCCGCCGAUGUUCCUCCGAUGACACGGCGGGGAGCUUCCCCCGGGAAACCAAAGCUUUUGGGUUCCGGGGGAAGUAUGGUUGCAAAGCUGAAACUUAAAGGAAUUGACGGAAGGGCACCACCAGGAGUGGAGUCUGCGGCUUAAUUUGACUCAACACGGGAAACCACACCAA
rnacentral:rRNA from 1 species